rnacentral:rRNA from 1 species
GAUGAACGCUGACAGAAUGCUUAACACAUGCACGUCAACCUGUGGCGGACGGGUGAGUAACGCGUAAAGAACUUGCCUCACAGGUAGGGACAACAUUUGGAAACGAAUGCUAAUACCUAAUACUGUGAGAGAGCUUUGAGUCCCAUUAGCUAGUUGGAGAGGUAACGGCUCACCAAGGCGAUGAUGGGUAGCCGGACUGCGAGGGUGAUCGGCCACAAGGGGACAGAGAAACGGCCCUUACGCCUACGGGAGGAAGCAGUGGGGAAUAUUGGACAAUAGACCAAAGUCUGAUCCAGGAAUUCUGUGUGAAAGAUGAAGUUUUCGGAAUGUAAAGUGCUUUCAGUUGGGAAGCGGUACCAACAGAAGAAGUGACGGCUAAAUACGUGCCAGCAGCCGCGGUAAUAC